AAGACUGUACUUCCAGGGAUCAUUUCUACAGUUCGUUACUGGAGAAUUUUCUCUGAAUGUGCACAGCAACCAUUUAUAUUAGUGUGGCACACGCCUAUCUGA
rnacentral:snoRNA from 1 species